GUCAUUUUCCAGCAUCCGAAGUAGGAAGUAUUGAGUGUCUCUUCCUUCUCUCAACUGACUUACAGUCACAGUGCUUUUCUCUGGCUUGUGGCAGGAUUGUUUCUCUGUUAGCAACUUAUUUUUUAAUACACCAUUCUGACACCUUGACAGUUCAUGUGCUAAAUCAAACUUUACAAUUACUGGCAGGCAGUUAUUAGAUGUAUUGCACUUAAUUAACUUUGCACCUAAUUACAAGCAGUGCUGGCCGAUUACAAAGGGCAUAAAUAUAUUAGUGCCCUAGCUGUCACAUCAUGAACAUAGCUGUUUGAACAAGUCAAGCAAAAGCAAUUACCGCAUUGUGUGCAUGGUGAAGUGUAGCAGAGUGCAGAAAGAGGAAUGAACUGUUUUACUAUUUGCAAGAAUUUAAUUUUGCACUUUGCAUUUCAGGUGACCCAGAUGAGCAAAGAGUAUGAUAAAAGAUUUCCUUUUGUCUGUAUAAAUACUUCAGGAUUGCUUCAUGUGUGUGAAGAGAAAACAAAAGUUGCAUGGUAGGAGCUGACUUAGAUUUUGUUAGAUACCCACCCCUUGUAUCUGAUAAAAUAUGAGGAUUCCAGCAUUAAGGCGGGGGAAACCAACCCAACAGUCUGCAAAUGCAAAAUUUAGUCCAAGACUUCAUUUAUUCAGCAGUGCACGGACAACCCAUCUUAAGCCCAGUCGUAGGAAUUUCAUGGUCAACAGUCUGUACCAUUUGCUUUGUACAAGAUAUUUAACACUUUGUACAGAACAGCGCCCAGGUCACAUGAACAAGUUCCAUCUAUAUUGGCCAAAAAAAGGUCACUAAAACUUGACUUUGCUUGAGGCAAAUGGAAAGAAACAGUCACAAUGUGGAGCUAAAUUAGUGGCUGUAGGUCUUGUAUUCUGUUGUUAUUUACAAGCUCUGCAUAAAGAGAGCUAUGAGGAUGUAUGUAAACCUUUCCCAGGCUAGAACAGCCAUUCAUUGUUAUUUGCUCCUAAAUAGGCUGCCUAUGCUGUUUCUGAUAACUCAUGGAAAAUGUAGGUGGCCUUUAACAAAAGUUUUGGAUGCCUUUGCGAUUGUAUGUACAUGAAAAAGUCAAUUGACUCCUUUGUGUGCAACAGCAUUAAGUAGAAAGUGAGGAGAUAAUGUGUUUUCAAAUACAACAUUACAUCACUGCUGAAAACACUGAUGAAUGCAUUUAAGACCUUGGGUGGCCAGCAAUUUUUACCCAGUAUAAAAUUAGAGGCACUACUGUAGAAAAAUAAACCUGUGCAGGAAAA
rnacentral:lncRNA from 1 species